GUCGUAUUAAACGUAAAGGGAGAUAGCAACUAAACUAUAGUUCAUAUAUGUAAAACACCCCUUCUGCAGAUUUCGUUUAAAGUGGGCUUUUGGGGCAGCUGCAGAGCCGGGCAAUAUUCGUUAGGGACCGCAAAAUUUAUUGUUUGUCAGUGACACUCAAAAUUGAGGAUGUUAAAAUUAUAUAUGUCUUAUACAUUGGCUAGAGAUGAAGGGGAUAUGAUGGGCGUGAAUAAAACCAGUUUAAACCCGCCGCAUUUUUGUGUCUGACCUAUGUCAGGAACCUUUAGCCUUUGUUGCUCUUGUAUAUGUUUUAAUUUUGGUUCAUCUUUAUAUUUAGCAGCAUAGAAUGGCGUCUAUAUUCUUGAUCUAUCUAAUAUUGUGUUUCGGGCCUGCUCAGGGCUCCCUCUAGGUGUGUGAUUUUUCGCUGUGUUGUAGACCC
rnacentral:lncRNA from 1 species